GACGAACGCUGGCGGCGUGCCUAAUACAUGCCAGUAGAACGCUGAAGAGAGGAGCUUGCUCUUCUUGGAUGAGUUGCGAACGGGUGAGUAACGCGUAGGUAACCUGCCUUGUAGCGGGGGAUAACUAUUUGAAACGAUAGCUAAUACCGCAUAACAAUGGAUGACACAUGUCAUUUAUUUGAAAGGGGCAAUUGCUCCACUACAAGAUGGACCUGCGUUGUAUUAGCUAGUAGGUGAGGUAAUGGCUCACCUAGGCGACGAUACAUAGCCGACCUGAGAGGGAGAUCGGCCAGACUGGGAAUGAGACACGGCCCAGACUCCUAGGGGGGGCAGCAGUAGGGAAUCUUCGGAAAUGGGGGCAACCCUGACCGAGCAACGCCGCGUGAGUGAAGAAGGUUUUCGGAUCGUAAAGCUCUGUUGUAAGUUAAGAACGGGUGUGAGAGUGGAAAGUUCACACUGUGACGGUAGCUUACCAGAAAGGGACGGCUAACUACGUG
rnacentral:rRNA from 1 species